rnacentral:rRNA from 1 species
AGUGAACGCUGGCGGUAGGCCUAACACAUGCAAGUCGAACGGCAGCACAGUAAGAGCUUGCUCUUACGGGUGGCGAGUGGCGGACGGGUGAGGAAUACAUCGGAAUCUACUUUUUCGUGGGGGAUAACGUAGGGAAACUUACGCUAAUACCGCAUACGACCUACGGGUGAAAGCAGGGGAUCUUCGGACCUUGCGCGAUUGAAUGAGCCGAUGUCGGAUUAGCUAGUUGGCGGGGUAAAGGCCCACCAAGGCGACGACCCGUAGCUGGUCUGAGAGGAGGAUCGGCCACACUGGAACUGAGACACGGUCCAGACUCCUACGGGAGGCAGCAGUGGGGAAUAUUGGACAAUGGGCGCAAGCCUGAUCCAGCCAUACCGCGUGGGUGAAGAAGGCCUUCGGGUUGUAAAGCCCUUUUGUUGGGAAAGAAAAGCAGCAGGUUAAUACCCCGCUGUUCUGACGGUACCCAAAGAAUAAGCACCGGCUAACUUCGUG